rnacentral:rRNA from 1 species
AACGAACGCUGGCGGCAGGCCUAACACAUGCAAGUCGAACGGGAUCUUCGGAUCUAGUGGCGGACGGGUGAGUAACGCGUGGGAACGUACCCUUUGGUUCGGAAUAGCCCUGGGAAACUGGGAGUAAUACCGGAUACGGUCGAGAGAUGAAAGAUUUAUCGCCGAAGGAUCGGCCCGCGUUGGAUUAGGUAGUUGGUGGGGUAAUGGCCUACCAAGCCGACGAUCCAUAGCUGGUUUGAGAGGAUGAUCAGCCACACUGGGACUGAGACACGGCCCAGACUCCUACGGGAGGCAGCAGUGGGGAAUCUUAAACAAUGGGGGAAACCCUGAUCUAGCCAUGCCGCGUGAGCGAUGAAGGCCUUAGGGUUGUAAAGCUCUUUCAGUGGGGAAGAUAAUGACGGUACCCACAGAAGAAGCCCCGGCUAACUCCGUGCCAGCAGCCGCGGUAAAGUCUGUACU